rnacentral:rRNA from 1 species
UACGAAGGGGGCUAGCGUUGCUCGGAAUCACUGGGCGUAAAGGGCGCGUAGGCGGUCAGCACAAGUCAGUUGUGAAAUCUCCGGGCUUAACUCGGAAAGGUCAACUGAUACUGUGGGGCUAGAGUGCAGGAAGGGGCAACUGGAAUUCUCGGUGUAGCGGUGAAAUGCGUAGAUAUCGAGAGGAACACCUGCGGCGAAGGCGGGUUGCUGGGCUGACACUGACGCUGGAACUGCGAAAGCUAGGGGAGCGAACGGG